GACGAACGCUGGCGGCGUGCCUAAUACAUGCAAGUCGAACGAGUGGCGGACGGGUGAGUAAUGUCUGGGAAACUGCCCGAUGGAGGGGGAUAACUACUGGAAACGGUAGCUAAUACCGCAUACCAUCGGAUGUGCCCAGUUGGGAUUAGCUUGUAGGUGGGGUAACGGCUCACCUAGGCGACGAUCCCUAGCUGGUCUGAGAGAAUGACAGGCCACACUGGAACUGAGACACGGUCCAGACUCCUACGGGAGGCAGCAGUGGGGAAUAUUGCACAAUGGGCGAAAGCCUGAUGCAGCCAUGCCGCGUGUAUGAAGAAGGCCUUCGGGUUGUAAACCGCUUUCAGCCAUGACGCGGUAGUGGCAGAAGAAGCACCGGCUAACUACGUGCCAGCAGCCGCGGUAAUAC
rnacentral:rRNA from 1 species